GGCGAUGUAGCUCAGCUGGCUAGAGCAUGCGGUUCAUACCCGCAGUGUCGGAGGUUCAAGUCCUCUCAUCGCUA
rnacentral:tRNA from 1 species